CCCCAGUAUAUACACAGCACCAAAUUGAGGAGCGCCAUUGUUUCCAGCUGCAGGUCUUCUCUCCAGUAGGUUCUUCCUCUUUUCACUAGAAGGGAAAUAACAUGGAUCAUGGGAGUGUGGUCCCUGAGAUUGUGUCAUUUCAUGUAUUGGAAGAAAUGACAGAUAGUUUCUCUGAAUACCGCAAAUUAGGCAGCGGCUCAUAUGGAGAAGUUUAUAUGGGAGAGAGUAAGGAUGGAAAGAAGAUUGCUGUGAAGAUGCUCCAUGACACUAUAGGACUUAACAAUGAUCAAUUUGACACAGAGUGUCUCAAUCUCGCAUCUCUUCGCCACCAUAAUAUU